rnacentral:tRNA from 1 species
UGAUGUGGCACAGUAGGUAGCGCAAUGCCUUGGUAAGGCAUAGGUCACGGGUUCAAGUCCCGUCAUCA